GUCAUGACAGAAGAAGCAAGAAGGCGUGCAGAGAUUGCCAGAUUGAUGGAAAUCCAUACACUGAAAGGCAAAGUGGAGUCGUUUGCCAAGUUGAGGGGUUUGGAUAUCGACGUGAACCCACAUUACACAGUAUGAUAUUCUCGAUGCCACCUCCAAUUCCAUGUGCUCAGUUCCUUCCUUUUUUGUCUUUUUUUUAUUUCUUGAAAUUGCUGUAUUCAGAUAUUACUUGCUCAUAAAAUGCAUUUCGAGCAGUGAUUUUCUGCCAAUUGAUUGCCAGCGAUUCUCCAUGUACCCUCAAUAAAGAGCCUUCAAUGCUAAAUAUC